AACGAACGCUGGCGGCAUGCCUAAUACAUGCAAGUCGAACGAGAUCUUCGGAUCUAGUGGCGCACGGGUGCGUAACGCGUGGGAAUCUGCCCUUGGGUUCGGAAUAACUUCUGGAAACGGAAGCUAAUACCGGAUGAUGACGUAAGUCCAAAGAUUUAUCGCCCAAGGAUGAGCCCGCGUAGGAUUAGCUAGUUGGUGGGGUAAAGGCUCACCAAGGCGACGAUCCUUAGCUGGUCUGAGAGGAUGAUCAGCCACACUGGGACUGAGACACGGCCCAGACUCCUACGGGAGGCAGCAGUAGGGAAUAUUGGACAAUGGGCGAAAGCCUGAUCCAGCAAUGCCGCGUGAGUGAUGAAGGCCUUAGGGUUGUAAAGCUCUUUUACCCGGGAUGAUAAUGACAGUACCGGGAGAAUAAGCUCCGGCUAACUCCGUGCCAGCCGCCGCUGUAAGAC
rnacentral:rRNA from 1 species